CCAACCCCUGCAACCCGCCGCCUCCCACAGUCGCAAUCCCAAAUCCAGACCCAAUCCCACCCGCCGCCAGAGCGUGCGUCCGGCCUCCUGCGACGCCGAGUCGCCGACGCCCCCGAGCCCGACGUCGCCCGCGUGGCCCCCGCCUGGGAGCGUCUGCGCGCCUGCGCCGCUGCGCGGCCGCGCGGCCGCCGCUGGGAGCUCCUGCCGCCUGCCGCCUGGGAGUGCCCGCGCGCCUGCGCGCUCGCGAGGGCGAGGCCGCGACCUCAACAGGUCGCCGCGCCGCCGCCCUGAGGCCCGCGGGGUUCUGCCGCUGCCGCCGCCUAUCCCCUGAGCCCCGAUCUCCCACGGUUUCUUCUAUCGCCCGACGGGUACCCGGCGGGUACGGGUACGAGUUUUCGCCUGAAACGUUUUGCGGGUACGGGUACGGCUGCAAUGUUCGGGUAUGCUGUCGGGCGGGUAAAUGUCUUACCCGCACCAUACCCGACCCGUUGCCAUCCCUACCGCCGCACAACCUCAGCGGCAUCUUCCUCCACUCUUAAGCCACCCUCACACCCGCCGCCGUCUCCUGGCAUCCGCGUCCGGCAGGCCACCACCGUGCUCCCGCGGUCCUGCCCCGCCGCUGCAAUGGCUGCGGCAGCCUCGCUGGCAGCGUGCGCUCAGGCAUCCGGCCCCCGCGCGGGGGCCCGCCUCGCCGUCCGCACCGCAGCCCUCCCGGCGGACGGACGCGGCGACGGCGCCGCCUCCAAGGAGCUCGGUCUGUACUCCUUGAAAAAGAGGAUUGAAGAUGCAGUUAUCCGGGUUGAAACCACCGCAUCCAGUGCUCUGGAGUUGGAGGAAGCACGGAGAAUUAAGCAGGAAGAAGUACUGCGGAAGUGUAACUUGUGGGAUAAUCUAACUAAGUCACAUGAGACGCUCUCUGCUCUGGCAGAUGCCAUCAGGGUGGUCGACCAUCUAAAAGAUCUUCGCUUCAAGGCUGAAGAGGCAAAAUUGAUAAGUCAACUAUCAGAGAUGGAUGCCAUAAAUGGUGAGCUAUUUAAGCAAGCAUACAAAUCUUCAGUAGAUGCUAGCGAGUAUCUAGAUCGCUACCAGAUGUACAAGCUUCUUAAGGGUCCAUACGACAAGGAAGGAGCUUGUAUUAUUGUUACUGCAGUAUCAGAUGGUGUUGCUUCUGAGCUAUGGGCAGUGAAGGUCUUUGGCAUGUAUACAAGUUGGGCACGGAAGCAAGGUUGCAAGGUUGGAUUGAUUGAGAAGAUUUCUUCAAUGAGUGGCCAUGUCCGGACUUUAGCGAUGGAGAUUGAAUCAGAGUACAUUUUUGGCAUCCUUUCUGGAGAAAAAGGAAUGCAUCGAAUGAUAUACUCUUCCCUUGAAAAUUCUGAUAAAUUUCAGCUUGCAGGCCUUAUCAGCUAGAGUAGACGUAAUUCCCCUCUUCUUGGAUAGGCCAAUUAAUCUUCACUUGGAUGACAAUGAUAUAGAGAUCGCUCCCUCACCUUCUUCUGAAUGUAAGAAGCGAGAUAGCAGAAACUGUGCUGCUGUCAGUGUUCAACACAAACCAAGUGGAGUCACUGCGGAAAGUUCAGGUGAGAGAAACUAUUUUGGAAACAGGCUAAAAGCUACAAGUAGGUUGAAAGCAAAGCUCCUUUUAUUUGCAAGAGAAUUGGGAGUAUCAAACAUGAAGACGAUGAACAAACAAGCUAUAAAGGAUAUAUGCAGCCGUGAAACGCGAAGGUACACAUUUGGGCCUCAGAAAUUGGUCCAUGAUCUCAACACAGGCAACCAGUUAUCAGAUUUGAACUUGGUUCUGGAAGGUGAAAUAGAACCAUUCAUUAGAGGUCGUAUUAUCGCCAGACAAUGAUGAUACAACUCACCAAUUGAUUGAUUGUCCCCCCUCAUUGCGAUCUUGUACAUUUAUUUGUCUUUAUACAAACCACACCACAUCAAAGGAUGACCUCUGUAAAAUAUCACAUUUCAAGCCAAAAGGCAUGACACCUGGUAUACAAAACAUUACGUUGUUUGCACCAUC